ACUUCGUCAUUUUGAAUCGUCCUCAUUUGCCGCUACCGACCAGAGUCCGUUAUACAUACUCUGGUCAAACGAAGAAAUUGUGAACGUUUUGUAAUUUAAAGUGCUGUGAAUAUCUGUUAUUUGUACCCAGCAUUCAUGUAACCGGCGAAAUGGUAAAUUUAGUUCUUGUAUUUUUGAGUCGUGUCUAAUUAGUGUCUUAAUUGUUAAUUGUAGUGUCAGGGAGUUGGUCCCAACCCGCACCAUCCAAACUAACCGUCAAGGACCGCGCUCUUCGCUAAAAGUGGUCGUUUGGUUGGUGGUGCAAGGAGGUAACAAGAUUGUGGUAAAUAUUAAAACAAAACGUUAAAGCUAGAAAAAGUGAUUAGAAAUGAACUCCCUUCACAGAACCUCCAAGUUGGCAGAGCGCGCCAACCCGAGAAUCUGUUAGAGCGCAAUGGCGGAGGCCAUCCGGUUUUUUUCUACCAAAGACAAAGACACAAAACCAAAGACACCAAAACCGUUGCUGCGCCAGGCCUGGCCGGAGGAAGAUCCUCCGACUUGACUCGACCACCGCGGGAUACACUAGAACACACGAACACACACACACAUGGUUAGGUUAGUUUUAAAACGACGAAAAACAAUAAAUUAGGACAGUUAAAUGCAAUAAACAUGA